rnacentral:misc_RNA from 1 species
CUUUAGAAUUUGAAUUUGAUUAUAAAGUUUUUGGUUUGCUUUGGUUCGGAAUAUACAAGAUUUUGACGCUUGUAAAAAGGCCCGGCCUAGUCCGGUCACAACAACCAACUAUUAGGAAUCAUGUGGUGGAGCCGCUGGCCCCUCGUGGGGCUUCUGCUCGCCAUUUUGGCCCCCGCGUCGCCAUCUCCCCGCAGAGGUAGACACAGAACCGUCCCCGAUGGCCCCAGGGCUGAGCCCCUCGUGGCUCAGCAAGUGCCCCCGCAGCGGAGGGAUCCCUUCGAUCCUCACAAGGAUUCAGAAGAAUUCCGAAGAGACGCACCUGACGAUAAAAGAGAUUUUGCAAAUAGAUUAACAGGCGAUGAGGAUCCUUUAAUCAUUAGAACGACGAAGGGCAAAGUGAGAGGCACUACUGUUACAGCAGCCACAGGGAAGAAGGUGGAUGCAUGGCUAGGUAUUCCUUAUGCCCAAAAACCAGUAGGAUCGUUAAGGUUUAGGCAUCCUCGACCGUUUGAAAAAUGGGAAGGUAUAUUGAAUACUACGAAGCAUCCGAAUUCUUGUGUUCAAAUUAUAGAUACACUUUACGGUGAUUUUCCAGGAGCUACAAUGUGGAAUCCAAAUACCCCACUGAGCGAAGACUGUCUGUAUAUAAACGUAGUGGUUCCAAGACCGAGGCCUACCAAUGCGGCAGUUAUGGUUUGGGUUUUUGGCGGUGGGUUCUAUUCGGGAACCAAUACGUUGGACGUAUACGACCACAAUAUCUUGGUGUCCGAAGAGAACAUCAUUCUUAUAUCGAUGCAGUACCGGGUCGCCUCGCUAGGCUUUAUCUAUUUUGGUACGGCCGAUGCCCCUGGCAACGCAGGACUGUUCGACCAGCUGAUGGCCUUGCAAUGGAUCAGAGACAACGUGGCAGCGUUUGGGGGGAAUCCCCAGAACGUAACACUGUUUGGAGAAAGUGCCGGAGCCGUCUCCGUGUCGUUGCAUCUGCUGAGUCCUCUAUCUAGGAAUUUGUUUUCACAGGCUAUAAUGGAAUCUGGAAGUGCAACAGCACCUUGGGCUGUCAUAUCUAGGGAGGAAAGCAUUUUACGCGGACUGAGAUUAGCAGAAGCCGUCAAAUGUCCUCACGACAAAAGUAAUUUGGCUGCCGUGGUCGACUGUUUGAAGAAGAAAGAUCCUGUAGAUUUAGUGAACAACGAAUGGGGCACAUUAGGUAUAUGCGAGUUUCCUUUUGUACCAAUCAUAGAUGGCGCUUUCUUGGAUGAAUCGCCUGGUCGUGCAAUGGCCAAUAAGAAUUUCAAAAAAACGAAUAUCCUGAUGGGCUCCAACACCGAGGAAGGGUACUACUUUAUCAUGUAUUAUUUAACGGAAUUGUUCAAGAAGGAAGAAAACGUAUACAUUAGCAGACAGGAGUAUUUAAGAGCCGUCACUGAACUGAACCCCUACGUUGGCCCUGCUGCUCGACAGGCCAUAGUCUUCGAGUACACGGAUUGGCUGAACCCAGAUGAUCCUGUGGCCAAUAGGGAUGCCUUAGAUAAAAUGGUAGGGGACUACCAAUUCACGUGUAAUGUGAACGAGUUUGCUCAUCGAUACGCAGAGACGGGAAACAAUGUUUACAUGUACUACUAUAAACAUCGAACGAUUGCUAAUCCUUGGCCAUCAUGGACAGGCGUUAUGCACGGUGAAGAAAUAGCCUACGUGUUUGGAGAGCCACUGAAUCCAGCUAAGUCCUAUACAGCACAAGAAGUGGACUUGUCCAAAAGAAUUAUGCGAUAUUGGGCUAACUUUGCUAAAACAGGUAAUCCUUCUCUGGCGCCUAAUGGUGUGUGGACGGCCACAUUUUGGCCUUUACACACUGCCUACGGUAGAGAGUACCUAACUCUAGAUGUCAAUAGUACUGCAACCGGUCGUGGACCACGGUUAAAGCAGUGCGCUUUUUGGAAGAAAUAUUUGCCACAACUGCAACAGCUUACAGUAGAACUUCAGCAGAAACCAGCUGCAGAAAAUUGUACUAGCGGUGCUAGUCAAACGUACGCAUAUCAGCACAAUAUCUUAGGAGUAACUACGUAUCUAGUACCAUUACUUUUCAGUUGGUUCAGUUGGGUGGUAGCGUAGAGAACAAUAGACAAAAGACCAAUUGGAACAUUCUAAUAGCGCAAAGAAGAGAAAUACAAAAAAGGGCAUGCGUAGAGCAGUGGAUUUUAGAAAAAUUUUCGCUUUUUGCUGUUUAGAAGAUCCUCCCGGCUCAAUAUAUUAUAUCGAAACCUUAUCGAAAGUAAAAGUUACAUAUCAUUAAAUUAGUUAAUAUAAGUAGGCUAGAUUCAAAAGAUAUGUUAUAUUUUAAAUAAUAAUAUAAAGAAUUAUUAAAUAAUAUCCAUAUUUUCAUAAGUUUACUACCGCCUAAGUGUAUACAGUUAUACAGCGUGUUUAAAUUUAAUCGGACAAAUUUUGACAGUUCUGGCAUAUUUCGUAUAAAAAAUAUAUUCAAGAUUCAAACAGUGUAUCACACUGUAUGUACAGGGUGGCGCCUCUCAUAGGACGAAGAGGAGACCAACUAGUAGGUUAAUUUAAAGCAUUUCUUAAAAUUAUAUAGAGUUCUGCAGGGUGUCCCUAAUAAAAGUUACGCAUCAAA